UACGGAGGGGGCAAGCGUUGUUCGGAAUUAUUGGGCGUAAAGGGCGCGUAGGCGGCUAACUACGUCAGAUGUGAAAUCCCUCGGCUUAACCGGGGAACUGCGUCUGAAACUGGAUGGCUUGAGGUUGGGAGAGGGAUGCGGAAUUCCAGGUGUAGCGGUGAAAUGCGUAGAUAUCUGGAGGAACACCGGUGGCGAAGGCGGCGUCCUGGACCAGUACUGACGCUGAGGCGCGAAAGCCAGGGGAGCGAACGGG
rnacentral:rRNA from 1 species